UAUGAUGUUGGUCAAAGUGGUGGGU
rnacentral:piRNA from 1 species